rnacentral:rRNA from 1 species
AUCUGGUUGAUCCUGCCAGAGGCUACCGCUAUUGGAGUUCGAUUAAGCUAUGCGAGUCUAGAGGCCUAGCCUCGGCGUACCGCUCAGUUACACGUGGGUAACCUACCCUAUGCAGGGGGAUAAGCUCGGGAAACUGAGAAUAAUACCCCAUAGUCCACUACGCCUGGAACGGUGAGUGGAUCAAAGCUCCGGCGGCAUAGGAUGGGCCUGCGGCGUAUCAGGUUGUAGGGGGUGUAAUGUACCCUCUAGCCAUCUACGCGUACGGGUGUUGGGAGACAUAGCCCGGAGAUGGAUUCUGAGACACGAAUCCAGACCCUACGGGGUGCAGCAGGCGCGAAAACUUGGCAAUGCGAGAAAUCGUGACCAGGGAACUCCAAGUGGCAGGGGUAAGACCCUGUCUUUUUCCGACUCUAAAUAGGUCGGCGAAUAAGGGGUGGGUAAGGACGGUGCCAGCCGCCGCGGUAAUACCGGCGCCUCAAGUGGUAGUCGCUUUUAUUGGGCCUAAAACGUCCGUAGCCGGUCUGGUACAUUCGUGGGUAAA